rnacentral:rRNA from 1 species
GAUGAACGCUGGCGGCGUGCCUAAUACAUGCAAGUCGAGCGAACAGAUGAGGAGCUUGCUCCUCUGACGUUAGCGGCGGACGGGUGAGUAACACGUGGAUAACCUACCUAUAAGACUGGGAUAACUUCGGGAAACCGGAGCUAAUACCGGAUAAUAUAUUGAACCGCAUGGUUCAAUAGUGAAAGACGGUUUUGCUGUCACUUAUAGAUGGAUCCGCGCCGCAUUAGCUAGUUGGUAAGGUAACGGCUUACCAAGGCGACGAUGCGUAGCCGACCUGAGAGGGUGAUCGGCCACACGGGAACUGAGACACGGUCCAGAGGACUACGGGAGGCAGCAGUAGGGAAUCUUCCGCAAUGGGCGAAAGCCUGACGGAGCAACGCCGCGUGAGUGAUGAAGGUCUUCGGAUCGUAAAACUCUGUUAUUAGGGAAGAACAAAUGUGUAAGUAACUAUGCACGUCUUGACGGUACCUAAUCAGAAAGCCACGGCUAACUACGUG